GAUAACAGUUGGAAACGACUGCUAAUACCGCAUACGCCCUACGGGGGAAAGCAGGGGACCUUCGGGCCUUGCGCGAUUGGAUAUGCCCAGGUGGGAUUAGCUAGUUGGUGAGGUAAUGGCUCACCAAGGCGACGAUCCCUAGCUGGUCUGAGAGGAUGAUCAGCCACACUGGAACUGAGACACGGUCCAGAUUCAUACGGGAGGCAGCAGUGGGGAAUAUUGCACAAUGGGGGAAACCCUGACGCAGCCAUGCCGCGUGUGUGAAGAAGGCCUUCGGGUUGUAAAGCACUUUCAGCGAGGAGGAAAGGUUGAUGCCUAAUAGGUAUCAACUGUGACGUUACUCGCAGAAGAAGCACCGGCUAACUCCGUGCCAGCAGCCGCGGUAAUACGGAGGGUGCAAGUUUUAAUCGGAAUUACUGGGCGUAAAGCGCACGCAGGCGGUUGGAUAAGUUAGAUGUGAAAGCCCCGGGCUCAACCUGGGAAUUGCAUUUAAAACUGUCCAGGUAGAGUCUUGUAGAGGGGGGUAGAAUUCCAGGUGUAGCGGUGAAAUGCGUAGAGAUCUGGAGGAAUACCGGUGGCGAAGGCGGCCCCCUGGACAAAGACUGACGCUCAGGUGAGAAAGUGUGGGGAGCAAUCAGGAUUAGAUACCCUGGUAGUCCACCCUGUAAAAGAUGUCGAUUUGGAGGCUGUGUCAAUGAGAAGUGGCUUCCGGAGCUAACGCGUAAAUCGACCG
rnacentral:rRNA from 1 species